rnacentral:ncRNA from 1 species
UUUAAAUAUUAUAUUUUGUGCUUUAAAGAUUAAAAGGGAAAGUAGUGUAAAUCUACUACAGCCCCCGCUACUGUAAUGGAAGACUGAACUCUAAGUUUGUUAAAGAUCCACUGAGAAAUUAUUCUUGGGAAGGAAGAGUUUUGGGAUGAGGCCAAAGUCAGGAGACCUGCCUAAAAGUUUUACGAAAA